GUUUGGAGUAGCGAUCAGUGUGCAACCAUGUGACCCAGUUCAUGGGCUCCUCCUUCCCUGCAGCCCUGCACUGGUGUCAAUGUAACCCACUGACAUACUUUCACUGAUCAAAGUGAACAAAGACAGUUGGAAUUACCAGAACCAUCCGGGAUGCCAUAAACGCACGCACUACAGCCUACAAUUUAGAGCUGCAGUCUGGAAACAUGGACAUUUAUAAAGCAGCUACACUGUAAGAAGGAAGCAAAAAGGGAUUACGGGAAGAAAGUGGAACUAAACUUCUAGGAGGGCAAUCCCAGAAGCACGUGGCAAGGUCUAAGAACACUGACAGAUUACAAGCCCCCGAGUGUAGAUGCAUCUCUAGCAAGUGAGCUAAACAACUUUUAUGCUCGCUGUGAGGCCAUCGGCAGCAAACAAGCAAAAACUGCUUAAGCAGAGUUUAAUGGAUGGGUGGGUGCACCAUUCAAACCUAUCACGCUUUCUGAGCAUGACGUCCGGAGGGCUUUCCACCAAGAAAGCAGCAGGACCAGACAGUAUCAGUGGGCGAGUGCUCAAACUAUGUGCUGACCAACUAGCGCUGGUGGUCACAAUGAUGUUCAACCUGUCCCUGGCUCAGUCUGUCAUACCCAUAAGACCAGCCUGCCUGAAUGACCACUGCCCAGUGGCACUCACCUCUGUUGUGAUGAAGUGCUUUGAACGGCUGGACGAGGACUACAUCUGCUCCUCACUACCCAGCACACUGGAGCCACUACAGUUUGCCUACCGUCCCAACCGAUCAACGGAAGACGCCAUAGCACACAUCCUCCACACCACCCUCUCUCACCUGGACAAGAAAGGAAGCUAUGUGAGAUUGCGGUUCAUUGACUGCGGUUCAGUCAACACCAUAGUUCCCUCCAGGCUCGUCUCAAAGCUCAAGGACCUGGGAUUAAACACCUCACUGUGCAUGUAGAUACUUGACUUCCUGACAGGCAGACCCCAGGUGGUGAGGGUGGGUGGACACACCUC